rnacentral:rRNA from 1 species
UCUUUUAGGUAAUAAUUAAAAGUCUAAUCUGCUCAAUGAUUAAUUAAAUAGCUGCAGUAUUUUGACUGUACAAAGGUAGCAUAAUAAAUAGUUUUAUAAUUUAAAGCUAGAAUGAAAGAUUAAAUAAAAUAAAAUCUUUAUUAAUAAUAUCAAUAAAAAUUUUUUUUUAGUAAAAAAACUGAAAUGAUUUAAAAAGACGAGAAGACCCUAUAGAUUUUUAUAAUUUAAAUUAAUAAAAUAUUAAUUUUUAAUUUGAAUUAUUUGAUUGGGGUGAUUAAAAAAUUUAAAUAACUUUUAUUAAAUUAAACAAUAAUUAUUGAAUAUUUGAUCUUAAAUUUUAAAUUAAAAGAUUAAAAUACCUUAGGGAUAACAGCGUAAUUAUAUUAAAUAGUUCAUAUUGAAAAUAUAGAUUGC